GUUUAAGAUGCUUUUAGAUGGCCACAUGGAUGUGUAGGGAAUGCAGGGAGAUGGAUUACUGGAGGGGAGA